UACGUAGGGCGCAAGCGUUGUCCGGAAUUAUUGGGCGUAAAGAGCUCGUAGGCGGUCUGUCGCGUCCGUUGUGAAAACUCGAGGCUCAACCUCGGGCUUGCAGUGGAUACGGGCAGACUAGAGUGCGGUAGGGGAGACUGGAAUUCCUGGUGUAGCGGUGAAUGCGCAGAUAUCAGGAGGAACACCGAUGGCGAAGGCAGGUCUCUGGGCCGCAACUGACGCUGGAGGAGCGAAAGCAUGGGGAGCGAACAGG
rnacentral:rRNA from 1 species